rnacentral:rRNA from 1 species
CCUACGGGGUGCAGCAGUGAGGAAUAUUGGUCAAUGGGCGCGAGCCUGAACCAGCCAAGUCGCGUGAAGGAUGACUGCCCUACGGGUUGUAAACUUCUUUUAUAAAGGAAUAAAGUGAGGCACGUGUGCCUUUUUGUAUGUACUUUAUGAAUAAGGCUCGGCUAACUCCGUGCCAGCAGCCGCGGUAAUACGGAGGAUCCGAGCGUUAUCCGGAUUUAGUGGGUUUAAAGGGAGCGUAGAUGGGUUGUUAAGUCAGUUUGGAAAGUUUGCGGCUCAACCGUAAAAUUGCAAUUGAUACUGGCAGUCUUGAGUACAGUUGAGGUAGGCGGAAUUCGUGGUGUAGCGGUGAAAUGCUUAGAUAUCACGAAGAACUCCGAUUGCGAAGGCAGCUUACUAAACUGCCACUGACAUUGAUGCUCGAAAGUGUGGGUAUUAAACAGGAUUAGAUACCCCUGUAGUC